rnacentral:lncRNA from 1 species
GGAGGUUCUCCCAGCCCCUGCCCAUCGAGAGGGUGCACAGGCUGGGGGGCUGCGCAGACUGCUGGGAGUUGUAGUUUCUCCCGCCUGACGUCGGAAGCAGCUGCCUUCUUCCCUUUCUGACAGUGUUCCUAACCUGGGGACAUCGCAUCAAUCCUGCUAUGAGCUUUCUUCUAGUGCUGGGAACCGGAGACUAGGAAUCACCGACUUUCAGAGCACAAAGGUACUUACUUAAU